rnacentral:rRNA from 1 species
GGGUUGUGAGGUUAAGCGACUAAGCGUACACGGUGGAUGCCCUGGCAGUCAGAGGCGAUGAAGGACGUGCUAAUCUGCGAUAAGCGUCGGUAAGGUGAUAUGAACCGUUAUAACCGGCGAUUUCCGAAUGGGGAAACCCAGUGUGUUUCGACACACUAUCAUUAACUGAAUCCAUAGGUUAAUGAGGCGAACCGGGGGAACUGAAACAUCUAAGUACCCCGAGGAAAAGAAAUCAACCGAGAUUCCCCCAGUAGCGGCGAGCGAACGGGGAGCAGCCCAGAGCCUGAAUCAGUGUGUGUGUUAGUGGAAGCGUCUGGAAAGGCGCGCGAUACAGGGUGACAGCCCCGUACACAAAAAUGCACAUACUGUGAGCUCGAUGAGUAGGGCGGGACACGUGGUAUCCUGUCUGAAUAUGGGGGGACCAUCCUCCAAGGCUAAAUACUCCUGACUGACCGAUAGUGAACCAGUACCGUGAGGGAAAGGCGAAAAGAACCCCGGCGAGGGGAGUGAAAAAGAACCUGAAACCGUGUACGUACAAGCAGUGGGAGCACGCUUAGGCGUGUGACUGCGUACCUUUUGUAUAAUGGGUCAGCGACUUAUAUUCUGUAGCAAGGUUAACCGAAUAGGGGAGCCGAAGGGAAACCGAGUCUUAACUGGGCGUUAAGUUGCAGGGUAUAGACCCGAAACCCGGUGAUCUAGCCAUGGGCAGGUUGAAGGUUGGGUAACACUAACUGGAGGACCGAACCGACUAAUGUUGAAAAAUUAGCGGAUGACUUGUGGCUGGGGGUGAAAGGCCAAUCAAACCGGGAGAUAGCUGGUUCUCCCCGAAAGCUAUUUAGGUAGCGCCUCGUGAAUUCAUCUCCGGGGGUAGAGCACUGUUUCGGCAAGGGGGUCAUCCCGACUUACCAACCCGAUGCAAACUGCGAAUACCGGAGAAUGUUAUCACGGGAGACACACGGCGGGUGCUAACGUCCGUCGUGAAGAGGGAAACAACCCAGACCGCCAGCUAAGGUCCCAAAGUCAUGGUUAAGUGGGAAACGAUGUGGGAAGGCCCAGACAGCCAGGAUGUUGGCUUAGAAGCAGCCAUCAUUUAAAGAAAGCGUAAUAGCUCACUGGUCGAGUCGGCCUGCGCGGAAGAUGUAACGGGGCUAAACCAUGCACCGAAGCUGCGGCAGCGACGCUUAUGCGUUGUUGGGUAGGGGAGCGUUCUGUAAGCCUGUGAAGGUGUGCUGUGAGGCAUGCUGGAGGUAUCAGAAGUGCGAAUGCUGACAUAAGUAACGAUAAAGCGGGUGAAAAGCCCGCUCGCCGGAAGACCAAGGGUUCCUGUCCAACGUUAAUCGGGGCAGGGUGAGUCGACCCCUAAGGCGAGGCCGAAAGGCGUAGUCGAUGGGAAACAGGUUAAUAUUCCUGUACUUGGUGUUACUGCGAAGGGGGGACGGAGAAGGCUAUGUUGGCCGGGCGACGGUUGUCCCGGUU